rnacentral:rRNA from 1 species
GCGGCGGACGGGUGAGUAACACGUGGACAAUCUGCCCCCCGGUCCGGGAUAGCCCAGGGAAACCUGGAUCAAUACCGGAUGCGAGCGCGAGCACAGAAGUGCUUGCGGGGAAAGGCGCUUCGGCGUCGCCGGGGGAUGAGUCCGCGGCCCAUUAGCUAGACGGCGGGGUAAAGGCCCACCGUGGCGACGAUGGGUAGCCGGCCUGAGAGGGUGAUCGGCCACAUUGGAACUGAGACACGGUCCAGACUCCUACGGGAGGCAGCAGCUAAGAAUCUUCUGCAAUGGGCGAAAGCCUGACGGAGCGACGCCGCGUGAACGAUGAAGGCCGUGAGGUUGUAAAGUUCUUUUCGGGAGGAGGAAUAAGGGUGGCAGGCAAUGGCCGCCCGAUGACGUCAAUCCCGGAAUAAGCCCCGGCUAACUACGUGCCAGCAGCCGCGGUAACACGUAGGGGGCGAGCGUUGUUCGGAAUCAUUGGGCGUAAAGGGCGUGCAGGCGGCCCUGCAAGUCUGGCGUGAAAUGCCCCG